rnacentral:rRNA from 1 species
UGCAGUCGAACGAAGUAGCAAUACUUAGUGGCAGACGGGUGAGUAACAUGUAGGUAUCUGCCCUUUGGCCUGGAAUAACACGAGGAAACUUGUGCUAAUACUGGAUAAGUCUUUACGGAGAAAGCUUUAUGCACCAUUGGAUGAGCCUGCACUUGAUUAGUUUGUUGGUGGGGUAAUGGCCUACCAAGACUGUGAUCAAUAGCUGAUUUGAGAGGAUGAUCAGCCACAUUGGGACUGAGACACGGCCCAAACUCCUACGGGAGGCAGCAGUGGGGAAUCUUGCACAAUGGAGGAAACUCUGAUGCAGCGAUGCCGCGUGAGUGAAGAAGGCCCUUGGGUUGUAAAGCUCUUUCGUCGGGGAAGAAAAUGACUGUACCCGAAUAAGAAGGUCCGGCUAACUUCGUGCCAGCAGCCGCGGUAAUACGAAGGGACCUAGCGUAGUUCGGAAUUACUGGGCUUAAAGAGUUCGUAGGUGGUUGAAAAAGUUGGUGGUGAAAUCCCAGAGCUUAACUCUGGAACUGCCAUCAAAACUUUUCAGCUAGAGUAUGAUAGAGGAAAGCAGAAUUUCUAGUGUAGAGGUGAAAUUCGUAGAUAUUAGAAAGAAUACCAAUUGCGAAGGCAGCUUUCUGGAUCAUUACUGACACUGAGGAACGAAAGCAUGGGUAGCGAAGAGGAUUAGAUACCCUCGUAGUCCAUGCCGUAAACGAUGUGUGUUAGACGUUGGAAAUUUAUUUUCAGUGUCGCAGCGAAAGCGAUAAACACACCGCCUGGGGAGUACGACCGCAAGGUUAAAACUCAAAUGAAUUGACGGGGACCCGCACAAGUAGUGGAGCAUGUGGUUUAAUUCGAAGAUACGCGCAGAACCUUACCAACACUUGACAUGUUCGUCGCGACUU